rnacentral:rRNA from 1 species
AUUGAACGCGGGCGGCAGGCUUAACACAUGCAAGUCGAGCGGGGGAAGGUAGCUUGCUACCUAACCUAGCGGCGGACGGGUGAGUAAUGCUUAGGAAUCUGCCUAUUAGUGGGGGACAACAUUUCGAAAGGGAUGCUAAUACCGCAUACGCCCUAAGGGGGAAAGCAGGGGAUCUUCGGACCUGGCGCUAAUAGAUGAGGCUAAGGCGGAUUAGCUAGUUGGGGGGGUAAAGGCAUACCAAGGCGACGAUCUGUAGCGGGUCUGAGAGGAGGAUCCGCCACACUGGGACUGAGACACGGCCCAGACUCCUACGGGAGGCAGCAGUGGGGAAUAUUGGACAAUGGGGGGAACCCUGAUCCAGCCAUGCCGCGUGUGUGAAGAAGGCCUUUUGGUUGUAAAGCACUUUAAGCGAGGAGGAGGCUACCGAGAUUAAUACUCUUGGAUAGUGGACGUUACUCGCAGAAUAAGCACCGGCUAACUCUGUGCCAGCCGCCGCGGUAAAAC